UCAUGACUUCCACCUCUUCCUCUUCUCCUCCCACUCAAUUCUUUCCCCAUUACGAAUUGCCACAAAUACAAAAAUUAUUGAUGAAUGCCAGGAGAACUCAUUCAGGGAAUUAAAACUGAAUUUCGUUGCUUUAAUUGGACGCACGGAGCCGUGGAACAUACAUACACAAACUGCCAUUAAUGGCCACGAUGAGCUCUCUUGAUCUCCAUCUCCCGGCCUCCCCUUCCUCUAUAAAAGGAUCCCUGAGGAGCGCCUCGCAGCCUCCCACCUCCUCUCCAGAAACCCCUCUCCAUCUCCCUCCCCAUGGUCGUCAAUUUGUCGCCGGAGUCCGAAAUCCGCCGCCGCGUCCGACGAAGUUUCAGUCACGUAUGCCAGAGCUCACGAACGGCGACGAGCACAUCCAACCGGAAACUCCGGCGAACUCCAGCGGGUUCACACGGCUUCCCGAGGACGAAUUGGUCGUCAACGAAGACAUCACCUUCAUCUCCGCAUGGUCUCCUUCACCGUCCGCCUCUCCUACUUGCCGGAGCACGCCCGACCGGACCUCCUCCCCCCGAUCUCGGCAGAUUAAGAGACGAUAGGGUUAUGGUCUACACUCAACGAGCCCAGUGGCGUUGAUGGAGCCCUAACUUAGUGACUACGUAUUAUUCCACUGUAUUAUGUGCCAGCAUUGAACUGCAUAAAUGUUAUGUAUUUACUGAAUUAUGGAUCUAUCGUUGUAGUAAAAUGAUGUAUGUUUUACUGAUAUUCAUUCUUGUUACUGUGUGUGCUAGAUAU